UACGUAGGGCGCAAGCGUUGUCCGGAAUCAUUGGGCGUAAAGCGCGUGUAGGCGGCUCGAUAAGUCCGGUGUGAAACCUUGGGGCUCAACCCCAAGCCUGCACUGGAUACUGUCGAGCUAGAGUCCGGGAGGGGAGAGCGGAAUUCCUAGUGUAGCGGUGAAAUGCGCAGAUAUCUGGAGGAACACCGGUGGCGAAGGCGGCAUCCUGGACCAAUAUUGACGCUGAGGAGCGAAAGCCAGGGGAGCAAAGCGGG
rnacentral:rRNA from 1 species